UAUAUAAGUUGUUGCAGUUAAAAAGCUCGUAGUUGGAUUUCAGGGUGAGCUCAGCUGGUCGGCCUAAUGGGUCAGAACUGGUUGACUCUCCCUUGGUUGUGGAUCCCUCCGGAGUUAAUUCUUCGGGUGUGGAGUCCACAUCGUUUACCUUGAAAAAAUUAUAGUGUUCAAAGCAGGCGUUUGCUUGAAUAUAUUAGCAUGGAAUAAUGGAAUAUGACGCUGGUUCUAUUUUGUUGGUUUUGAGAACCAUAGUAAUGAUUAAUAGGGACAGGUUGGGGGCAUUCAUAUUUCAUUGUCAGAGGUGAAAUUCUUGGAUUUAUGAAAGAUGAACUUCUGCGAAAGCAUUUGCCAAGGAUGUUUUCAUUAAUCAAGAACGAGAGUUAGGGGAUCGAAGACGAUCAGGUACCGUCGUAGUCUUAACCAUAAACUAUGCCGACUAGGGAUUGGGCGUGGUUUGUUCAUUGACCCGCUCAGCACCUUACGAGAAAUCAAAGUCUUUGGGUUCCGGGGGGAGUAUGGUCGCAAGGCUGAAACUUAAAGGAAUUGACGGAGGGGCAUCACCAUGAGUGGAGCCUGCGGCUUAAUUUGACUCAACACGGGAAAACUUAC
rnacentral:rRNA from 1 species